GAGCCUGACAGCAGUGCCAGGUUUGGCUUAUCUACCAUGUGCCUGCAUGGGACUCCAUUUCCUGUUACCCACUGGAAGAAGAGGAGAUGGAGUUGGGGCCUCUUCAUCCUCCAUCACCUCAUUACCAAAACCAGCAGCAGAUCACUCCCACGCUAGGCCAUAAAAAUGAUCUUCCCCUUCCCAUCUGACACUGGUGGUGAGAGUAAUCUGGAAUUAACAUCACAAUGCAAGAAGCUGGCUCCCAAAAUAUGUGACCCAAGAUUUUGUAAGCCUCUUGAAGUUCUGCUGCACACAUCUAUCU
rnacentral:lncRNA from 1 species